GGAAUUGACGGGGGCCCGCACAAGCGGCGGAGCAUGCGGAUUAAUUCGAUGCAACGCGAAGAACCUUACCAAGGCUUGACAUACACCGGUAACGCCCAGAGAUGGGUGCCCCUUUGUGGUCGGUGGACAGGUGGUGCAUGGUUGUCGUCAGCUCGUGUCGUGAGAUGUUGGGUUAAGUCCCGCAACGAGCGCAACCCUCGUCCUAUGUUGCCAGCGGGUCAUGCCGGGGACUCAUGGGAGACUGCCGGGGUCAACUCGGAGGAAGGUGGGGAUGACGUCAAAUCAUCAUGCCCCUUAUGUCUUGGGCUUCACGCAUGCUACAAUGGCCGGUACAAAGGGCUGCGAUACCGCGAGGUGGAGCGAAUCCCAGAAAGCCGGUCUCAGUUCGGAUUGGGGUCUGCAACUCGACCCCAUGAAGUCGGAGUCGCUAGUAAUCGCAGAUCAGCAACGCCGCGGUGAAUACGUUCCCGGGCCUU
rnacentral:rRNA from 1 species